rnacentral:rRNA from 1 species
GUCCUACGGGAGGCAGCAGUGAGGAAUAUUGGUCAAUGGACGGAAGUCUGAACCAGCCAUGCCGCGUGCAGGAAGACGGCUCUAUGAGUUGUAAACUGCUUUUGUACAAGGGUAAACCUGAAUACGUGUAUUCAGCUGAAAGUACUGUACGAAUAAGGAUCGGCUAACUCCGUGCCAGCAGCCGCGGUAAUACGGAGGAUGCGAGCGUUAUCCGGAUUCAUUGGGUUUAAAGGGUGCGCAGGCGGGCCUUUAAGCCGGCGGUGAAAUUGCGGGGCUCAACCCCGCC